rnacentral:tRNA from 1 species
AUUUGGAUAGUUUAUUUAAAACGUUGAUUUGUGGAGUCAAAAAAAUAUUAUUAUUCUAAAUU